UUGUAAGAUCUUGACAUUUGUUUCGUAUCAGAAACUCAUUUAUGUCAUAAUUUGACACAAAUCCAAAUCAAGCUGUAUCAAGCUUGAAUGUUGUGUCCAUACUUGCCCCAACUGUUCAGGGUUCGACCUCUGCUGUCGUAUAAAGCUGCGCCCUGUGGAGCACCUGGUUAUAAGUCGCUAAAAGCUUAAAAUUAAACUUUCUAUUUAGUUUGACAUAACAAUUCUUAAAUUUGUUCAAAUAUCAACUUUAGGAUUGUCUCAUUACCGCUUUUUGUCUACGAGACCAACAUAAUUUAUACAAUUUUAAUACGCUCCACUUUGAGAUUAUUUUUCAUAAAUGGAAUAUAAUUUACUGCAAAUAUUUUCAUUGGUAUUUCAAUGUUAAUAUGCUAGACAGUAUCAAUUGUUUCUUCUAUUUCAUUUGGGGAAAAUGUCUGUCAUUUCAGUUGUGAUAUACGUAGUCAUUACAGUUGUGAUAUAAGUAAUGAAGUCCGUCCAUAAUUAAGCAUUUAUAUAUGAUAUGAAAUACCCCUUUACAUUGAUGUAGAAUAGUAUUUAUAGUUUUAUGACGUUUUUGUGGUACACAUUCUGAACAAAGAGAAAUAUGGUUAUUAUUUAACUUUUUUUGAUCAAGCAAAUGCUUAUGGUUAUUAAUGUAUAAUGGGGGUUUUAUUUAAUUUUUAUUGUCGAGCCUGCAACUUUGUUGCAGAAAG
rnacentral:lncRNA from 1 species